UAAGAAGGAGAUGAUGUGCUUAACGCAUUGCAGUUUGGGUACAUGUCUGUACCUGCUUCCUUUUCUCUUCAGGGAAGCUAAGUAGCCUGUGCUUCAGUUCUUCAUCUACCAGAUGGGAAUAACCACCCUUGGUUGUCUUUGAGGGAAGGAAGCAAUGGUCAGAAGGACAUACAUCAACAUUCAUUUUUUGCGAUGCUGUUAUAGCAGAAUGCUCCGAGUGGACAUAUUUUUCACGGCACAAAAUAAUUAUUUAAUGUUCCUCUUGUUCUGAUGUACGAGGACAGUAUAAAAACAUAAACACAUUGGUUGAAAGUAAGAAGAAAUUUCUUCUGGCUCUACAGAAUCUUCUCCCUCGGAAUUUCAAAAUGUUUUUCAAUUUGAUCCUCAAGCUACAAUAUUCUUCAUGAUUUUUGUGCUGCCACAACACAGCAGCACUAUGGCCCCAGACCAGAGAGUGAAGGAAGACAUCUUGAGAACAAAGGUGUAACAUCUACAUGCAAAGAAUCAAAAUAACAAAGUAUAACAUCCUGCAAUCUGGCCUAUUAAAGGACUUUGACCAGGCAUCAGAGAGAAGAAAAAAGAGAGCAGAGCAGGAUAACCAUGCUUUAUGCUGCUAUAAAGAGCAGAAAAUAACAACUUUGGGGUGUUUUUCAUGAUAAAACAUUAAAAAAAAAAAAAAAAAAAAAGAGGCAUGGCUAUGAUGAGACAGUGUGACCAUAGCUGCCUCUUAAAAAGUGAUAAAUAUCUGAUGAAUGAAUCUGUUCUGCAAAUUACCUGCUAGCAGAGCACAAAAAUACAUACAGUGACCACCCAGCCACCUCUACUGCCAGGACAUUUCCUACAUAGUGCUUCCCCAAUUUGGAGUGUUCCUCCGUACUUUCUUCCCAGUGGCAAAACACUUCUCACUUCAUGCUUGAAUUCCUAAAGAAUGGCAAAAGUCCUGAGUAAGGUGUAUCCUGGAAGCAUUUUGGUCCAAUUGACUAGGAAGAUUGGUGAAAAAUCACUCUGCUGUAACCCAUCUCCCUGGAGCUAUUAGGCAUCACCUACCCCCACGCCUGUCCUUGAUUUGGAUACGGAUUUGUCAGGCAGCUCUCUUGUCAUCCCACGAUGCAAAAUGUGGGAAUAUCCAUUGCUAUUAACGAGGUGCAAAAGUGCUUUUGGGGCGUUCAUGGUAUGUAUGGUGCCACACUGAAACAAAAAGCGUUAGUUCCUUUGAUUUUUCCUAUUGUGGAUGCUUUAAGAUGUGUUGCUAUAUAAGCCAUGGUCUUAUCUUGAUCAGCUCAUGUUAGUUUGUGAGGCUCCAUUGAGUUCACUGAUGUUGAGGGCCUGUUCCAAUUCAUGCUGACUGAGUAUCUGUUUCAUAAAUUGCAAUGUUGUGAUAUGCUGCUCUGUGAUCAAAUGACAAGUAUUUUGUUUAUUUUUCCCUUCCCUCUCCCCCCAACGAUAAGAAGCAACACAGAUAACCAAGCUCUCUCUCUCUGAGGCUAACAUCAACAUCACUGACCAGUCUGAGUCAUGCUCCUGAGUCACAGAAAUGAGUUUUAGGAAGAGUAAAUAUAGCCCCUCCUCUCUCUCAUCAGUGCUGGGUAAUUGUCUUGAGUAGAACAAUAAAUUGUCUCUUAGUAAUGCUUCUUCAAAGUCCUUUGGAUAAGAAAAUAGAUAAUUCAGUUAAGCCUUGGGUUCCUUCAGCAAACAUUAGCAUUUCUGCCCCUUGGCGAUUUUUCAAGAUGGUUUUGAAACAUUUAAGAGUCAUUAGAGCUAAUAGCUCCCAUUCUGAAUUUCCUUCAAGGAAGAGUAUCAGAAAAAAAUGCACCACCUUAUUCCCACUACCUUAAUCAAGAAUUAAUCAUUCCAGUGAUAAACAAUGACCGGAACGUAUUUGAAUAAAUUAUUUGUUUUCUUUGUUGACCAGCUACCACUCUAAAUCAUCCUGGCUGUUUUUAAGAUGCUAACAAAAAUAUACUACCUGCCUAAAAUCGCGUUUUAAAAAAAUAUUAAUAACAACCUAUCUUAAAGUUUAAAGUUUAAAGAGUUUAAAACUUUGGACACAAGCCUUAUGAGCCUUAUUCAGAAAUAAUUGUUUCCAGGCUAUGAAUUGCAGAUCUAAAGAUUAUCAAGAUCUAAAUUUGGUUAUCUGUCGAUAUAAGUGUGGAUAUGAGAUGUAUAUUAUUAAACCCUUAAUAUAAAUCAUGCUUCAUAGUAGUGUAAAUUAUAGUAAAAUCAUUACAUAAGGUGCUUAUAUUCGUGUAUAAAUCCAGUAUGCUUAGAGAAUUAGAUGAUGGGCAAUAACACUAGAAAAGUCUUGACUGGGGCAUUGUCUCUAUUAUCAGGUAGUACUACAGCUGUGAAGGCAAAAGUGAGAAGAAACAAACUUUUGCAAAUAUUAAUGUUCCUUAUUAGCUCAUGAAACAGAGAAAAAUUAAACGAAUUCUUGUGACAUCAGCUAUAUUUCUGUUAUGUAUUAGUAGGAAAAAAAUCAAUAGCAUUUUCCUGUGUCUAACUUCCCUUUUGUCAAUAAGAUAACAUGGAAGCUUUGUAUUGAACCACCAGAGCUUAUAUACAUCAUGUUACGGACACAUAUAGUAAUAGAACCACUGUAGGUUAUUUUCAGACUGCGACGUUAUGCAGCAGUAAAGGCAAUUUGGUUUAGGACAGAAGUGGAUUAAAAAGAUACAAAAAUGUUUUGUAUGUGGUAGCAGUCCAAACAUUGACAGAUUUAUUAUCUGAAUUUCUGACUGGAUUCAGUAAAAGUUGCACACACUUACUAUUUGCUAAAACUGACGCACCUAGGUUACUAAAAAUACCUUGGAUAACUGAAAGGGAUUUAAAAAUUAAUCCCAUAAAAGACUUAUUUAUCUUUUUUUGUUUAUUUCAGCUUGAUGUUAAACACAACCAAGUCCCUUUCACUGUGUGGCCAGCUCUCAGUGCUUUUCACAUUCAAGGCCUCAAGUCCUAGCAGGAGCUUUUGAAUUGCAAGCCAACUGAGAGCAGUUCACUGGGGUAUCCAUGGCUGAUCUCUGGGACUAUAUUUAGUAGUAAAUGUAUGACAUGUCCUUGACAGCAUAUGUAAUGGUCUUUCCUAUUCUAGCACAUUUGUGCAUGUUUUGCAUUGAAUCUGAUGUUAUUUUCUUACUCUUAUGAAUCAGUCUUUGCAGGAAUGCUUGCUCUACAGGUAGCUGCAGAAACACUUGUAAUAGAACUGGGGCAUGGGAGAUUUAAGUCAAGCUCAACUAGAGUCACCUCUUUCCAUCAUCUGCUCUGGACACAGAGUAGUAGAGGGAAAACUUUUGUUUUAUAAUGGAGGUGAUCCAUGUGUUUAUACUUGUCUGCUGAAUGUGGGGCAAAAUGCAAAGGUGAACCAAUCAGGGGCUCAAUCACAUAGAGCAGUUUCAGAAACAGAUGAGGUAGGUAUUGGGAUUUUCUAGAGAUCUUUCUGUAGGACAUUCCACAUUCCAUGAACCACACUCUUCCACCUCCUUUGAUCCCUUACAUAACUUCCUCUUCUUUUUUUUUUUUUUUUCCUCUUCCUUUGCCUCUUUUCCUGUCAUGUACUCCAUCCUUCCUUUUUUUUUUUCAGUUUAAAGUAUUUUUUUUUCUGAGUUACACCUUUCUCAGAAUUCCUGCCAAGCAAAACAAAACCAAAAUAACAAACCAAACCAAAACAGAACAAAACCCAAGAACAUCACAUAGACCUUACACAUCAGAUGAUUAAUUUGUGACGUUUAAGCCAGUGUUAUGUGGUAUUUCUUCCCUUAUCAGUUGUGUGGGAAUCACAUGUCCUCAUAUAGACAUCUAAAAGGGACAUAUCUAGAUUUGUACCAGUAACCUCAACUUCCUUUAUAGUCAACAGUGAGAAGCUGCAACCUCCAGAAAGCACUAUGUGCCAGUCUAAGUGUAAUGUUUAUUUUUCUUUUAUUUUUUUUUAGUUUUCUUUUAUUUUAACUUAAUUAAUUAAUAUUUAAUUAGAACACAAGUGAAUAGUUGAAAUUUUAGUAUCUAACUCACAGAAGGUUAACAAUGGUUAAGUGAGCUGAACCUCUCUUUCAGGCUGCAUGGUUUUAUCGAUCCUCCUAAUCUACCAGCCAUUACUUUUAAAUGCUCAAUGAACUGGACAACAUAUGCAGAGAAGACAAAAUACAAAUAAAUAAAUAAAUAAAUAAAUAAAUAAAUAAAUAAAAACAGCAUUAGGAGGGCCAGCUCUGUAAAAUAAUCAAUUGCCAGAUAUUUUUAAUUAAUGCAACUUUUGCUAGCAACUUUUAGCAAAGCACUGAAACUUGAAUUGAGGUGAAUAGUCCUUAUGAGGUAAAUUACAUGAUCUUGAGUAAUUCCAUGAAUUAAGUUUGUCUGAUUCUUGUGGAGCUAUCUGUGAGGAAAAGGAUGUUCACAUGUGAAAGGCUUGCAGGACACAGCUGCUGGCUUCAGUUCCACAGCUGCUGGCUUCAGUUCCACUGAGAUGGGAGGUGGUGGUUCUGACUGAUUUGGUUUAGACUGAACUCCCGUGAGAUUGUAUACUUUGUAGUUGGACCAGCCAGACAUGAGAAGAAAAUGAGUGUGGGUCCCAUACUGGACAUAGUGUACAGAGUUUGUUAAAGAUAGGAUUUGUGAUGUGAUGUGGAAAUGCCAGCCUGUUUUUAAAAUGGAUCUGGGACUUCAGUGACAGUGAGACAUCAUCCCUGAUCCUUCUAAUCACUGUAUGUUUGUCUGCCUCCCAGCUCUAUGUGGUUUUAUUGAAGUCUGUGGUGCUCUGCCAAAGCGCAGUGAAAUAUUAGCACUCAGAAAAGUGUCAAGAAUCCCCUUCAAAAAUAGAUUUCUGUUCUUCUUCUUCUUCUUUUUUUUUUUUUUAAAUAAAUAAAUGCAAAAAUAAAUACACAAAGAGAACUUGCUUUAAAAGGAAAUUAUGAUCUAAAAAUAUAUUCACCUAAUGCUCCAAACCAGUAUUACAUUUAGGAAAAAUAAUAAAACUUUAAAAAUGAUAAACAAA